rnacentral:piRNA from 1 species
GGCCAGAGUGGAGCCUCAUCUUUAAGG